CAGUUAUCAUGUGAUACAGUUCUACUAUCGUGGAUCCCUACAGGACGGAGGUCAUGGACAACUCGUCAAACCCCAUCGUCUAUCAUAUGUGAAGAUUUAUUCGACUUAAGUUCGAGAGCGGAGAACUCUUUCUCCACUGUGCAAUCUGCCCCGGCCGAGGUCUUACGAACUCAGUCUUAUAAAUCACAUAGGAUCUCUCCUUAUCUAUCAAGGUCGAUAGAUUCCUUAUAGGUGCAUACCCUACUCCUACAGUGAACUUACUGCAACCAAUCUACACUGCAUGGACCCAUAUGGCUAGAGACCAUGUAUGUGUGCAGUCAAACUACAAUAACCUCACUGUGAGUAGCCGAAGCACCGCAGGUCAAAGGACCAGUCACACUACUGCAACGUCAAACAAGUCACUGACGAGUGGAUAGACAUCCAAGUGACUUCUUGUAUUGGUCACGCUCAGUACCCUUGUUUUUAACAAGCACCUGCACUAUUACUUCAGUGUCGCCACACCGUGGACUCGAGUCUCGUCCAUCCAUAAGGAAAGUAAUCUGUGCACUGAUCUCAUCGGAUCGAUGACCGUCCUCGUGAUGAUCCAUCGAUCAGGAGCGUUCAGAAAUUAAUCACUAAUGAUACAUGGCUCUAAUUUUCAACUCUUGA
rnacentral:lncRNA from 1 species